CCUACUUCUAAAGGAACUGUAGGUGUGGCUACUCUGACACAUGUGCCUCAGUUGGUGGCAGAGAGGAGAGAGGCUAUGUCUACCCUCAGUGUUCUGACCUAUAAACAUCUGAACGUUUAAUAGCCUAACAUU